CUUUUAUGACGGCAAAAGACGGACACCACAGUGCGAGAUAUGCAACAAAAACAUUUCGGACAGCCAGACGACAACUUCAAACUUUGUCCGUCAUUUGAAGAGCCAUUCUGCCAAACUCCAGGCCUGGAG